rnacentral:rRNA from 1 species
UACGUAGGGUGCAAGCGUUGUCCGGAAUUAUUGGGCGUAAAGAGCUCGUAGGCGGUCUGUCACGUCGGCUGUGAAAACCCGAGGCUCAACCUCGGGCCUGCAGUGGGUACGGGCAGACUAGAGUGCGGUAGGGGAGAAUGGAACUCCUGGUGUAGCGGUGGAAUGCGCAGAUAUCAGGAAGAACACCGAUGGCGAAGGCAGUUCUCUGGGCCGUAACUGACGCUGAGGAGCGAAAGCGUGGGGAGCGAACAGG